rnacentral:lncRNA from 1 species
CCGAUCCUUUUUCUUCCAGCUCUUGGGACAGGAACUAGUUUUCUUUUGCAUUUCUACUUCUACCACAGAGACACUUCUUUCUUCAGACUGUUCAUGCCACAAGAAAUGGAAAGCUAUGUUUUAGAAGCUCUGGAGCAUCAGUUGAUAUACAUUUUGUCAGCCGUGACAGCCAAUGUGAGGCAUCCUGACUUCUGCUGUUUGUCUCCAC